rnacentral:rRNA from 1 species
CACCGCGGUUAUACGAGCGACCCAAGUUGAUAGCCAGCGGCGUAAAGAGUGGUUAAGAUACUAACAAACUAAAGCCGAACACCUUCAAAGCUGUUAUACGUUUUUGAAGGUAAGAAGUUCUAUUACGAAAGUAGCUUUACUAACCCUGACCCCACGAAAGCUGUGGAA